GGGUCCGGGGAGGUGGUGGUGCGGGUCACGUCGGUGUGAGGAGAGGACAUUGGCGAGGGAGAGGGGGGGGGGGGGUGGUCCGGACCCAGAGUCCUGUUGAAUAUUGUCCGAUUUCUGGGUCUGGACGGCGGUCUCUGAUCCGGAGUCAGGUCAGAUCUCUGGGUCUGGAUGCUGGUCUCUGAUCCGGAGUCAGGUCAGAUCUCUGGGUCUGGAUGCUGGUCUCUGAUCCGGAGUCAGGUCAGAUCUCUGGAAGCUGGUCUCUGAUCCGGGGAAUGGACCACAAACCACCGCUGUGCUGCUGUCGGUUAUUGUUUUAUAUCUAAUUGAAUGUAACAUUCUUUAUGGCAGUCCUGGUUCUUCUUCCACCCCUUGGAUUUGUAACCUGUUGCGGUUCUUUGAAGACAUCUUCGAACUGUAAACAGACUAGGUGGAGAAAUGAGGCGGGUCCGCUAGGCCGGGUCGGACCGGUUCCACACAACUUAAAGGUCACAUGACAUGCCACCAGGUGUGAGUGUGAUAAGCUGUUACAAGCCGUUUUGAAAAUCGGUCUCUUAUGACAUCGCAAGUGGGCGUGUCCCCCUAGAUGUGUGACGGAUAGAUGAGAAACAUUUGCUACAGUCCACUGGGUAGGCUGGUAGACUGAUCUAUCCAGCACACAUCUAGGUGGACACGCCCACUUGUGAUGUCAUAAGAGACAGAUUUUCAAAACGGCUUGUAACGGCUAAUCACACUCACACCUGGUGGCAUGUCAUGGGACCUUUAAAAUCAAAGGGUCUGUUGUUUGUACCAGUGUGAAAUUCUCUGUUGAGCUUCCGAAAACCUGUUUUAUUUUUCCUUCCCGACCCAGGAAGAACUGGUUCAUUCCGGUGCCUUAGCGCGAGGCUGAUGACAGGCGUUAAAAUGGCGGCGCGAGUAGCAGAGAUACGACGUGAAUGUGACUUUGUCGGUUGGCCGUCUAUCAAUGGCUAUUGAAUGUAACAUGAAUGUAAUGUAUAAAGGAUGUUUAUAUUCAGA